rnacentral:lncRNA from 1 species
UGGGAAAUGCAGAGAGUAAUGGAUUUAUAUAUACUGCAGAAUAUGUUCAACAGAUUGAUUUACACAUAGAUUCUACUAGCUAGCUUAUUGCAGAAAGACCUCAAAGCUAAAUGGACAUGCUGGUGAGGCAACAACAUAAAACAAAAACAUCAUAGGAAAUGAUAAGCGUCCACAGAAUACAUUAACAUAGUUAGCCUUCAAGCAAUGGAUGAAGGAGGUGCAGCAGCAGCAUUCUGUGAUGUUGCUUUGUUUUUAACUGGUGAAGGUGGCGCUCUUGAUGUCACCAUUACUCUUAGGCUGCGAGUUGGCACUAUUUCCUUUUUGACGAUGCCAUUUUGACAUCCAAAGCUACCUUGUUUUCUUCCAUGUAUCUUCAUCAAGCCAUGUCUACAGUCAACAUGCCAUACACUCUUCUCACCAUCUUCGGCUAACAAUAAGAAAAUCACAGUAAUAUUUAUAAAAGGAAUGAAAUUAAACCAAUUAGUGAUCAGGGGGAAGGAAGUUAUAUUACCAUGAUGAAGUAAAGCAGAAGUUUCAGGUAAAAGUCCGAGAAGAAGAUAUACAGCUACUAAAACUAAAACCAACUUCGCCGGAAAACCACCCAUCUUGCAAAGCAGGAAACAGGAACUUGCAUUCAGUGUAUGCUCUAGGAUAAUACCAUGAACCAAAAUUUAUAGAUUCUCCAUUCAAG